GCUCAGAGUGAACGCUGGCGGUAGGCCUAACACAUGCAAGUCGAACGGCAGCACAGUAAGAGCUUGCUCUUAUGGGUGGCGAGUGGCGGACGGGUGAGGAAUACAUCGGAAUCUACCUUUUCGUGGGGGAUAACGUAGGGAAACUUACGCUAAUACCGCAUACGACCUUCGGGUGAAAGCAGGGGACCUUCGGGCCUUGCGCGGAUAGAUGAGCCGAUGUCGGAUUAGCUAGUUGGCGGGGUAAAGGCCCACCAAGGCGACGAUCCGUAGCUGGUCUGAGAGGAUGAUCAGCCACACUGGAACUGAGACACGGUCCAGACUCCUACGGGAGGCAGCAGUGGGGAAUAUUGGACAAUGGGCGCAAGCCUGAUCCAGCCAUACCGCGUGGGUGAAGAAGGCCUUCGGGUUGUAAAGCCCUUUUGUUGGGAAAGAAAAGCAGUCGAUUAAUACUCGGU
rnacentral:rRNA from 1 species